rnacentral:rRNA from 1 species
UACGGGGGGGGCAAGCGUUGUUCGGAAUUACUGGGCGUAAAGGGCUCGUAGGCGGCCGUGCAAGUCUGGCGUGAAAGCCCCGGGCUCAGCCUGGGAACUGCAUUUGUGACUGCAUGGCUAGAGUACGGUAGAGGGGGAUGGAAUUCCGCGUGUAGCAGUGAAAUGCGUAGAUAUGCGGAGGAACACCGAUGGCGAAGGCAAUCCCCUGGACCUGUACUGACGCUCAUGCACGAAAGCGUGGGGAGCAAACAGG